UACGGGGGGGGGCAAGCGUUGUUCGGAAUUACUGGGCGUAAAGGGCUCGUAGGUGGCCAACUAAGUCAGACGUGAAAUCCCUCGGCUUAACCGGGGAACUGCGUCUGAUACUGGAUGGCUUGAGAUUGGGAGAGGGAUGCGGAAUUCCAGGUGUAGCGGUGAAAUGCGUAGAUAUCUGGAGGAACACCGGUGGCGAAGGCGGCAUCCUGGACCAACACUGACGCUGAGGAGCGAAAGCCAGGGGAGCAAAGCGGG
rnacentral:rRNA from 1 species